AGCGAACGUUUGCGGCGGGCCUAACACAUGCAAGUCGAACGCACUAGCAAUAGUGAGUGGCGCACGGGUGCGUAACACGUAGGUAAUCAACCCUUCAGCUUGGGAUAACGACUUGAAAGGGUCGCUAAUACCGGAUACGGCGCGGGAGGCUUCGGCUUCUCACGAGAAAGCCUCGCAAGGGGUACUGAAGGACGAGCCUGCGGCCCAUCAGCUAGUUGGUGAGGUAAGAGCUCACCAAGGCGAAGACGGGUAGCUGGUCUGAGAGGAUGAUCAGCCACACUGGAACUGAGACACGGUCCAGACUCCUACGGGAGGCAGCAGUGGGGAAUAUUGCGCAAUGGGCGAAAGCCUGACGCAGCCACGCCGCGUGAGCGAUGAAGGCC
rnacentral:rRNA from 1 species